rnacentral:rRNA from 1 species
AUACGGAGGGUGCAAGCGUUACUCGGAAUCACUGGGCGUAAAGCGCGCGCAGGCGGCUUGAUAAGUUGGAUGUGAAAGCCUACGGCUCAACCGUAGAACUGCAUCCAAAACUGUCAGGCUAGAGUGUGGGAGAGGAAGAUGGAAUUAGUUGUGUAGGGGUAAAAUCCGUAGAGAUAACUAGGAAUACCAAAAGCGAAGGCAAUCUUCUGGAACACUACUGACGCUGAGGCGCGAAGGCGUGGGGAGCAAACAGGAGUAGAAACCCGUGUAGUCC